GACGUAGGAGGCGAGCGUUGUCCGGAUUCAUUGGGCGUAAAGAGCACGCAGGCGGUUUGGCAAGUCGGAUGUGAAAACCCGAAGCUCAACCUCGGGCCUGCAUCCGAAACUGCCCGACUAGAGGUAGGUAGGGGAGAUCGGAAUUCCUGGUGUAGCGGUGAAAUGCGCAGAUAUCGGGAGGAACACCAGUGGCGAAGGCGACUACCUGGCCUGUUCUUGACGCUGAGGCGCGGAAGCUAGGGGAGCAAACGGG
rnacentral:rRNA from 1 species